rnacentral:rRNA from 1 species
UACGUAGGUGGCAAGCGUUAAUCGGAAUUACUGGGCGUAAAGCGUGCGCAGGCGGUUGUGCAAGACCGAUGUGAAAUCCCCGGGCUUAACCUGGGAAUGGCAUUGGUGACUGCACGGCUAGAGUGUGUCAGAGGGGGGUAGAAUUCCACGUGUAGCAGUGAAAUGCGUAGAGAUGUGGAGGAAUACCGAUGGCGAAGGCAGCCCCCUGGGAUAACACUGACGCUCAUGCACGAAAGCGUGGGGAGCAAACAGG